CCCUUAGAUGUUCUGGGCUGCACGCGCGCUACACUGAUGCGAUCAACGAGUUUCUUCCUUUGUCGGUAGACAUGGGUAACCUUUUGAACUCGCAUCGUGAUGGGGAUAGAUUAUUGUAAUUAUUAAUCUUCAACGAGGAAUUCCUAGUAGGUGCAAAUCAUCAGUUUGCAUCGAUUACGUCCCUGCCCUUUGUACACACCGCCCGUCGCUGCUACCGAUUGGUUGAUCUGGUGAAUUAUUCGGACUGCCGGAUGAAGGGGUUUCCUCAUCUUCCAGCGGAAAGUCUUGUUAACCCUAUCAACUAGAGGAAGCAGAANUCGUANCA
rnacentral:rRNA from 1 species